UACGUAGGGUGCGAGCGUUGUCCGGAAUUAUUGGGCGUAAAGGGCUCGUAGGCGGUUUGUCGCGUCGGGAGUGAAAUCCACUGGCUUAACUGGUGGCUUGCUUUCGAUACGGGCAGACUGGAGGUAUGCAGGGGAGAACGGAAUUCCUGGUGUAGCGGUGAAAUGCGCAGAUAUCAGGAGGAACACCGGUGGCGAAGGCGGGUCUCUGGGCCGAUAUUGACGCUGAGGAGCGAAAGCGUGGGGGAGCAAACAGG
rnacentral:rRNA from 1 species